CAAACAAGCAAGCAACUAACCAAAUUAUAUUUUAACAAUUAAAUCAUUAAACAAUAAUUGAAGGGUGGAUGAGAAAUAAAGAUUUCCUACAUUUAGAACAGUCUUUAAGUACCUCACUAGUUCUUCUGCGACCUUAGUGGGCGGGGAAGCUGUCAGUCUUAUCAAAAUGACUACCAAGCAAUAGGGAGGCGGGACAACAACAGGACGUUAGUGGAGAGAGCGGGAAAUACGGGGAGAAGGUGGUUCUUGAGUGGAGAUAAGAAUUCUGACUUAGUGUCAUACUGUACCAGCUGCUUCUGCUACUGGGACCUACAGUACAGCUACUACAGAAGCCUGGACACAGACCUCAGGACGGGGCUGGACACAGGAUGGCUAACAGGACCUGAACUCCAGGUAAAAGUGUUAUUAGUACAGCAGCUGUAAACAUCUGCUCCGCUGUGGGUGGGAUGCCCAGCUGCACAGCUAGCCUACGCACAUCAGCAACUCCAUUUCCCAUCAUCCCCUGCAACCAGUCCGUCCUUCAUGCCUCUGCUCUGUGCCUCUCCAGAACCACUGCCUGCUGUUCAGCCAGUGUGUCCAGGAGCCAGUCUCCGUCGCUGUCCUGUUGAGAGGCUGAGUGGCACCAAGCAGAAGGUUAAUCUAAGGAGAUGUUCUCCCAUCAGCAUUGAGGAGGUAGGUUUCAUUCAGAUAUAUGGGUAAAGCAGAGCUCUGCUGCGUCUGUCACACUGUUUCUUACAUCUGCCUCGCACAGUCAGCAUCAGACUACAGGCCUGUCU
rnacentral:lncRNA from 1 species